rnacentral:lncRNA from 1 species
GUUUACAGAGAAGUUCUUCAAAAUCUCUCAGGGCUCCACUGGCACUAAGCAGCAGCAAAAGGCACUUCAGCGUCAAGAAGUCUGAAAGCUGAGGCAGCUUAAGCGAUGCGUGCAUGCAUUGACCAAUGAACUAGACCAGGACUGUGGGUCAGCCAUAAAGAGGAAGGAGAGCCUCAUAUACGUUAGGCGUCCCUACAGAGCCCUAGGCCACAAGGAGCUGGAUGGUCUCAAAAGGACAAAGAGCUUAUGCAUCUACUUCUGAGAACCCUAGAGUCUCAGGCCUACUGAAGCAGAAAGCAGAAUGAAACACCUAGACUGGAGAGGGACGGACAGUGAGUUCUCUCAAGAUAGUCCCGGCUGUCUUGGAGCUCACUACCUAGACUGAACUGGCUUUGAAUUCAUGAAUAUUCUCCUGCCUCUGAGUGUUGGAAUUAAAGGCAUGGACUACUACAUCCAACUCCCUUUCUGUUCUCUCUCUCUCUCCCCCUCCCUGCCUCCCUCUAUACACACACACACACACACACACACACACACACACACACACACACUGGCUCUGAUGAAGUACCACAGGUGUGACACCCUCACAGGUAUGACUGAGGAUGUGGCAAGGCUGGGCCUGAUGUUUGGAUAUGCAGAACUCUAGGGCAUAAAAAAAAAAGAAAGAGAGAAAAGAGUAAAGGAAACGGUUCAUCAGAAGCUCAGUGAAUGAGCAGGCUGGUCCAGUCAGCAAUCAUGAGUGCUGAGUGGAGGAGCUACCAGGAAGUCAUGAGUCACUUGACAUCAGCUAGGUUUAUGGUAAUUUCCAAAAAGCCACAUAGGUGCAUACAGUGUCUGGAGAAAAAUAGUUGGCUAGUUCUCAGCCAUCCCAGAUAAACUGCUUUUUAUUCAGGUUAUGUGAGAAACAGAGUUAUGCUUUAAGUUUUUAUUACUGUGCCUAAGAGGUGUGUGAAACAAAAAUGCCUCUAAUCUGUAAGCCCCUCCCUGCCUAAGGACAGAUGCCUCCAGAAAUGCUGGAAACUAAUAUUUACAGAAGAUUGUUGUGUUUAUAAAAAGAUAAAUAGAGGAGGAAUAUGUUUUGGUGGGUAUGUAGUCAGGUGUGGGGGAAGGGGUACCUCGGCAGGCCCAUGCUGAGGCAUCUCUUCCUCCUUCAAGACCAGCUACAUGACAGUAUAGUAUAGAGUUUAUUCAGGGCAUGGGGAUGGGAG